UACGUGGGUGGCAAGCGUUAUCCGGAUUUACUGGGUGUAAGGGGCGCGUAGGCGGGUAUGCAAGUCAGAUGUGAAAUCUAUGGGCUUAACCCAUAAACUGCAUUUGAAACUGUAUGUCUUGAGUGCUGGAGAGGUAGACGGAAUCCCUUGUGUAGCGGUGUAAUGCGUAGAUAUAAGGAAGAACACCAGUGGCGAAGGCGGUCUACUGGACAGUAACUGACGCUGAGGCGCGAAAGCGUGGGGAGCAAAC
rnacentral:rRNA from 1 species